rnacentral:rRNA from 1 species
UUCAUGGAGAGUUUGAUCCUGGCUCAGGACGAACGCUGGCGGCGUGCCUAAUACAUGCAAGUCGAGCGGAUGAACCUGAUUGAUUCCUUCGGGAUGACGUCAGGGGAUUCAGCGGCGGACGGGUGAGUAA